UACGGAGGGUCCGAGCGUUAAUCGGAAUUACUGGGCGUAAAGCGCGCGUAGGCGGAUAUAUAAGUCAGAUGUGAAAUCCCCGGGCUCAACCUGGGAACUGCAUUUGAAACUGUAUAUCUAGAGUGUGGUAGAGGUGAGUGGAAUUUCAGGUGUAGCGGUGAAAUGCGUAGAGAUCUGAAGGAACAUCAGUGGCGAAGGCGACUCACUGGGCCAUUACUGACGCUGAGGUGCGAAAGCGUGGGUAGCAAACAGG
rnacentral:rRNA from 1 species